GGUUAUAGUUUCAAGUGUCUGAUAAUCUUUUUUUAAAAAAGAUUUAUUUAUGUAUAUGAGUACACCAUUGUUCAGACAUACCAGAAGAGGACAUCAGAUUCCAUUACAGAUGUUUGUGAGCCACCAUGUGGUCAUGUGGUUGCUGGGAAUUGAACUCAGGACCUCUGGAAGAGCAGUUGGUGCUCUUAACCACUGAGCCAUCUCCCUAGCCCUGGCUUUGGUUUUUCAAGAUAAGGGGUCUUGGUGUAGCCCUGGCUGUCAUAGAACUUACUCUAUAGACCAGGCUGGUCUGAAAUUCAGAGAUCCAUCUGCCUCUGCCUUCUGAAUGCUGGGACUGAAGGUGUGCAUUACCACCACCUGCUUUAUUUAAUUUGUUAUUGCAUUUAUAAUGACAUGUGUAUGGGUGUGCACAUGCCAAGUACAAAUGUAGUGGUUAGGGCACAACUCUCGGGCUGCUUUUCACUUUGUGGGUCCUAGGGAUUGGGAUUCCAUUGUUAGGGUUUAGAACAUAUGACUCUCCUGUCUCUGUCUCCUAAGUCCUGGGAUUGCAGGUGUAUAGCACCACAGCUAUUUUGACAUUGUGUGUGUGUGUGUGUGGUCAGGGUCAGGGGAGAGGGAGAGAUAGAUAGAUAGAUAGGAUGUCCUAGUGUGGAAAGUACUUUGUAGCUGAGAAUGACUUUGAAUUUCUAAUCUUCUGUUAGAAUUAUAGACAUAAACCACCAUGCCUGAUAUAAACCUCAUUUUUUUACACUAAUUUUUGAGGUAAGUAACUUAUUAACAAUUUUUUUUUUACAUUUAGAUUUGGGGGUGUCCUCCCUAUGUUACUUUUAUGACCUUGAGUUCUUUCUUAUUUCAUAAAACAAGCUUCAUUGAAAAGUAAGUACAUUUAACUAAAAAUAAAUAAUGAUUAUAUAAUGGAAAUAAUUUCUUUUCCCUUCAGAAUAAGUAAGGGUGUUUAUCUUGGAGGAUGUCUGGCAGCAAGAAAGCCUGUUAUUUGGUGGUGCUAAGUUUUUAGACAAUUGCUAUAUUCAAAAUUCUAUUUAAAGGGCUCUCCAACCUUUGUUGGCCUCCUGUGUCUUACUCCAGAGAGCAGCAGUCUCUGAGGAGUUUGCCUUUUCAAAGAACCCAUUUGUUUUUAUCUAGAACAGUAGAGCAAAGCAGUCCCUAUAAGCCAUGUGGACGUAGAGGCAUCUUGCUUCAUCAGAGAGCUGAUUCUUUUUGAGAUCCUGACAUAAGUUGGUAUUGUCUACUACUUUUUUUUUUUAAGCAGUGUCUAGUUGCUCCCAGGAGAUUUCUGUCUGAAGUUCCAUCAAUAUUGUUGCUGGCCUGGUAGCUGUUAAGAUGAAGAAGAGUAUCUAGUGAGAAUUUAUUUAUUACAUAUUGAGAAUUCCCAUUCACAGGCUUUUACUGUCUGCUUAAAAGAGUGUAUGAGAAAAAUGGAGGGAGAGAGGAAUAGGGAGAGGGAUUUAUGCUAUAACAUUUUGGAAGUAUUCAACCAACUCUAUUUAUGGUGGGGGUGAAUAGCCACAAUUUCCAGAGGUGAAGUCAUUUAGAAUUAGGAAAACUGCAUCUUUUAAAAUCUUAUUGUUUUG
rnacentral:lncRNA from 1 species